rnacentral:rRNA from 1 species
GAUGAACGCUGGCGGCGUGCCUAAUACAUGCAAGUAGAACGCUGAAGGAGGAGCUUGCUCUUCUGGAUGAGUUGCGAACGGGUGAGUAACGCGUAGGUAACCUGCCUGGUAGCGGGGGAUAACUAUUGGAAACGAUAGCUAAUACCGCAUAACAGUAGAUAUUGCAUGAUAUCUGCUUGAAAGGUGCAAUUGCAUCACUACCAGAUGGACCUGCGUUGUAUUAGCUAGUUGGUGAGGUAACGGCUCACCAAGGCGACGAUACAUAGCCGACCUGAGAGGGUGAUCGGCCACACUGGGACUGAGACACGGCCCAGACUCCUACGGGAGGCAGCAGUAGGGAAUCUUCGGCAAUGGACGGAAGUCUGACCGAGCAACGCCGCGUGAGUGAAGAAGGUUUUCGGAUCGUAAAGCUCUGUUGUAAGAGAAGAACGAGUGUGAGAGUGGAAAGUUCACACUGUGACGGUAUCUUACCAGAAAGGGACGGCUAACUACGUGCCAGCAGCCGCGGUAAUACGUAGGUCCCGAGCGUUAUCCGGAUUUAUUGGGCGUAAAGCGAGCGCAGGCGGUUAGAUAAGUCUGAAGUUAAAGGCUGUGGCUUAACCAUAGUACGCUUUGGAAACUGUUUAACUUGAGUGCAAGAGGGGAGAGUGGAAUUCCAUGUGUAGCGGUGAAAUGCGUAGAUAUAUGGAGGAACACCGGUGGCGAAAGCGGCUCUCUGGCUUGUAACUGACGCUGAGGCUCGAAAGUGUGGGUAUCAAACAGG